AGGACAAACGCUGGCGGCGUGCCUAAGACAUGCAAGUCGGACGAGGGGCUUCGGCUCCGAGUGGCGGACGGGUGAGGAGCGCGUGGAGAACCUGCCCCGGGGUGGGGGAUACCCGCCAGAAAUGGCGGUUAAGACCGCAUACGACGGCACCGUGCAGGCGGUGGCGGGAAAGCAGUGAUGUGCCCUGGGAGGGCUCCGCGUCGGAUUAGCUGGUUGGUGGGGUAACGGCCUACCAAGGCGACGAUCCGUAGCUGGUCUGAGAGGACGGCCAGCCACACUGGGACUGAGACACGGCCCAGACUCUUACGGGAGGCAGCAGUGGGGAAUUUUCCGCAAUGGGCGAAAGCCUGACGGAGCAAUGCCGCGUGGAGGUAGAAGGCUCACGGGUCGUAAACUCCUUUUCUCAGAGAAGAUGCAAUGACGGUAUCUGAGGAAUAAGCAUCGGCUAACUCUGUGCCAGCAGCCGC
rnacentral:rRNA from 1 species